rnacentral:lncRNA from 1 species
AUGUUGUUGUCUCUGUAUCUCUGGAAACCAGACGCCUGUCUCUCUUCCCGUAUCCUCUUAGGGACUCACUGUUCUGUUUCCGCCCAUCCCUGUCUCUCUCUCUCUCUCUCUCUCUCUCUGUCUCUCUCUCCUGCAACUGUCUCCGUGUGUCUCUCGCUGUCUCUGUCUCUCUCCUUCAGAUGGCCCCAACUCUCCGCCUUGCUCUCCUUCUCUCCAACCUGCUUAGCCUCAUGGGGACCCUGGAAGCAGCACCUACUCCCAGGGGCGGAGGCGGCUGGACCCUCAACAGUGCCGGAUACCUCCUGGGGCCCGAUGGCUCUCCGUCCUUCCACCUUGAAGAUCUGGACUUUCAGAGCCACCUGCUGAAACUGCUGUCCCAGCCAGAGAUCAGAGAUGUGGGGGUGUUCAGCUGGGGUUCGUCUGCAGACGAGGAGACACGGCAACCGUAGCUGUCAGUGUCACGCCGGCUUCCUCUCUUCCUUCGCCUCCUCGCCGUCCCCCACCCGCCUCAACUCUGUUCUGACUCGGUUCCCUUCGUCUUCGGGGGUAGCCGGACGUCAUUCCCCUAUUUCGCUGCCGGGCAGAUUUAACCUUAAAGUGCUUUUCGGAGCCGUUCCCGGUAACCUGGGGAUGACUUCAUAGCAAACCCGAUUCCGAUCCGACCGAUUCAGCCCCGCAGUGUAUUUGUGGAAUAACUCUGUAGCAACUUGAUAAGACCUCUGGAAUGUCUGAAACAACUUCCAAGUGAUGUUUCCCAGUUCCCUCUUCAGUCUGACCCAUAAGACCCAUUACCCAGUGCUUGGUACAGUGCCUGGCACGUAGUAAGCGCUUAAUGAAUUCCAUUAUUAUUAUUUCUUCCGCCCCAUUUUGAAUCUUCCCUCCGAGAGAGGAGAAGGGAAGAUGGAUGGGGGUAGUCAGAGAAUAAAUGCCUUCAUUUCUGACGGGCC